rnacentral:lncRNA from 1 species
CAAAGCUGACGAGAAAUGUUCAGGAAGAGAAGGAAAAUUUCUUGUGAGCUUUCAAAAUACACCCUGAAACCUCAAAUAAAUUCUCGGCGUGAACCACCAUGCUGGCCCUUCAUUCCUUUUUAAGGCUGAGUAAUAUUCCCUUGCACGGAUGGGCCACGUUUUGCUGGUCCAUUCACCCUUUAAUAAACAUCUGCAUUGCUCCCACUUUUUGGCUAUUGUGAAUAAUGCUGCUAUGAAUAUUCAUGUCCAGGGAUUUAUUUGAACACCUGUUUCCAUUCUUCUGGGGAUAUACCUAGGAGUGGAAUUGCUGGGCCAUAUUUAUGGCAAUUCUGUGUUUAACUUUUUUUUUUUUUUUUUGAGACAAGUUCUCACUCUAUUGCCCAGGCUGAAGUGCAGUGGCUCAAUCACAGCUCACCAUGGCCUCAACCUCCUGGGUUCAGCUGAUCCUACUCCCUCAGCGUCCCAAGUAGCUGGGAAUACAGGCGCAUCACCUCGCCUGGCUAAUUUUUUUAUGCUUUUCAUAGAGACAGGGUUUCACCAUGUUGCCCAUGCUGGUCUCGAACUCCUAAGCUCAAGCAAUCCUCCUGCCUCAACCUCCUGAAGUGCUAGGAUUACAGGUGUGAGCCACUGCACCCAGCCUGUGUUUAACUUUUUGAGAACCCACCAGGCUUCAACGACAGCAUCAUUUGACAUUCCCACCAGCAAUGGCUCAGUAGUUUUUAACCCUUAUGGCUUUCAACUAACUAGGACCCAAGUUCACAUCUUGGCUUAACCACUGUGACCACUGGAUCCUUUUCUUUCCCAUCAUGCAUCUUGCUUUUCCUGGUAGCAACCCCCAAUUCUGCCUCUAGGAACCCACCUGUCUCAGCAUGGCCAGCGGGCCUGUCAGUCCUAGAGGUUCACACUCAAUGGGCUGGGGGCAAAUUUGGGGAACCAAGAGGUGGCUCCCCUACCUAGGAAAAUUCACAAGAACAAGGCAGGUCUAAUUGAGAUUCACAUAGGGGGAGGAGAGAGAAGGCGGCCUUGGCAGCUGCUAGGGCCUCCUGAGC